GGCUCAGUGGGAAAAACUCCGGUGGUAUGAGAUGGACCCGCGUUUGAUUAGGUAGUUGGUGGGGUAACGGCCUGCCAAGCCAACGAUCAGUAGCCGACCUGAGAGGGUGACCGGCCACAUUGGGACUGAGACACGGCCCAAACUCCUACGGGAGGCAGCAGUGGGGAAUAUUGCACAAUGGGGGAAACCCUGAUGCAGCGACGCCGCGUGAGCGAAGAAGUAUUUCGGUAUGUAAAGCUCUAUCAGCAGGGAAGAAAAUGACGGUACCUGACUAAGAAGCACCGGCUAAAUACGUGCCAGCAGCCGCGGUAAUACGUAUGGUGCAAGCGUUAUCCGGAUUUACUGGGUGUAAAGGGAGCGUAGACGGCUGUGUAAGUCUGAAGUGAAAGCCCGGGGCUCAACCCCGGGACUGCUUUGGAAACUAUGCAGCUAGAGUGUCGGAGAGGUAAGUGGAAUUCCCAGUGUAGCGGUGAAAUGCGUAGAUAUUGGGAGGAACACCAGUGGCGAAGGCGGCUUACUGGACGAUGACUGACGUUGAGGCUCGAAAGCGUGGGGAGCAAACAAGAUUCGAUACCCUGGUAGUCCACGCCGUAAACGAUGACUAUUAGGGGUCGGGGAGCAAAGCUCUUCGGUGCCGCAGCAAACGCAAUAAGUAGUCCACCUGGGGAGUACGUUCGCAAGAAUGAAACUCAAAGGAAUUGACGGGGACCCGCACAAGCGGUGGAGCAUGUGGUUUAAUUCGAAGCAACGCGAAGAACCUUACCUGCUCUUGACAUCCCGGUGACCGGCAUGUAAUGAUGCCUUUUCUUCGGAACACCGGUGACAGGUGGUGCAUGGUUGUCGUCAGCUCGUGUCGUGAGAUGUUGGGUUAAGUCCCGCAACGAGCGCAACCCUUAUCUUCAGUAGCCAGCAAUUCGGAUAGGCACUCUGGAGAGACUGCCAGGGAUAACCUGGAGGAAGGUGGGGAUGACGUCAAAUCAUCAUGCCCCUUAUGAGCAGGGCUACACACGUGCUACAAUGGCGUAAACAAAGGGAAGCGAGCCUGCGAGGGUAAGCAAAUCUCAAAAAUAACGUCUCAGUUCGGAUUGUAGUCUGCAACUCGACUACAUGAAGCUGGAAUCGCUAGUAAUCGCGAAUCAGCAUGUCGCGGUGAAUACGUUCCCGGGUCUUGCACA
rnacentral:rRNA from 1 species